rnacentral:rRNA from 1 species
CGCAUCUGUGCAUGCAGCAUAUCAAUAAGCGGAGGAAAAGACUGCGGAACUGAACGACCGCUACCUACGCUUAGGAUGUUGAUAUGCAUGACUGAUAUAGUCUAUACAUGACUCUGUGCAUAUCAAUAAGCGGAGGAAAAGAAACUAACAAGGAUUCCCCUAGUAACGGCGAGUGAAGCGGGAAGAGCUCAAAUUUGAAAUCUUAAAGGGUUUCCCUUUACGAAUUGUAGUUUAAAGAAGUGUUUUCUGUUGAGGUUUUGGUAAAAGUUCUUUGGAAUAGGACAUCAUAGAGGGUGAGAAUCCCGUAUUUGACCUUUACUUUCAACUUUGUGAUACACUUUCAAAGAGUCGGAUUGUUUGGGAAUGCAGUCCAAAAUGGGUGGUAAAUUUCAUCUAAAGCUAAAUAUUGGCGAGAGACCGAUAGCGAACAAGUACCGUGAGGGAAAGAUGAAAAGAACUUUGAAAAGAGAGUUAAACAGUACGUGAAAUUGUCAAAAGGGAAGCGUUUGACACCAGUGUUGUUUUUCUGAAAAUCAAUUAAAGAACUGUUUAUGCUAAGCUGUUUAGACUUUAUCAGCUAUCUGUUUAGUUUUGAGCUUUUCUUUAAUGCACUUUUCAGUUAACAAGUCAACAUCAAUUUCUUUUGCUGUAAAAAAGCUUGAGGAAGGUGGCUUGAGAUUCGUCUUAAGUGUUUAUAGCCUCUUGCCUAUGCAGUCGGAGAGAUUGAGGUCUGCAGCGUAGAUCCUUCGGGGCUAAAUGCAUUUGUGCUAAGUUAUAGCAUUUUAUAGACAACUUGUUGACUAUGAUUUGUCUUGUAGCUUACUCGCUUAUGUUAUUUUACCUACGCUUAGGAUGUUGAUAUGCAUGACUGAUAU